rnacentral:rRNA from 1 species
AACCAAAAUAAAUUAUCACUCUAAGCUCAUGGGUCGAUGAAGAACGCAGCAAACUGUGCGUCAUCGUGUGAACUGCAGGACACAUGAACAUCGACAUUUUGAACGCAUAUCGCAGUCCAUGCUGUUUUGUACUUUAAUUAAUUUUAUAGUGCUGCUUGGACUACAUAUGGUUGAGGGUUGUAAGACUUUGCUAACUAAGUUGUUUAAAAUUUUUCGAAGUUUUAAGCAUAUGGUAUAUUAUUGGAUAGAUUAUGUGUGUCCCUGAUAUGCAUAAAUUAUUCAUAAUAUUAAUAUAUAUAUGGAUGUACUACUCAUUGUAUAUUUUGUAUGAGAAAACUGAAGAAUUAUAUUUUAUUUUUUCAAAUCAAAUAAUACUGAGGAAUGUCUAGCAUAAAAGAAAAAUAUAUUGUUCCUUAAUCUAGAAUUGCCUCUUAUUAAUGAUGUGUGAUAAAAGAAUUGUUGUAAAAUUUAUGGAACUUCAGAACAAAAGUAUUAUCCAUUAUAUUGAACAAUAAAUAAUGUUCAAUUAACAUUGUUUUAUACAACCUCAACUCAUAUGGGACUACCCCCUGAAUUUAAGCAUAUUAAUUAGGGGAGGAAAAGAAACUAACAAGGAUUUUCUUAGUAGCGGCGAGCGAAAAGAAAUCAGUUCAGCACUAAGUCACUUUGUCUAUAUGGCAAAUGUGAGAUGCAGUGUACGGAACAUCAACAUUCUAGUAUGAGAAGUUAACGAUUUAAAUCCUUCUUAAAUGAGGCCAUUUACCCAUAGAGGGUGCCAGGCCCGUAUAACGUUAAUGAUUACUAGAUGGUGUUUCCAAAGAGUCGUGUUGCUUGAUAGUGCAGCACUAAGUGGGUGGUAAACUCCAUCUAAAACUAAAUAUAACCAUGAGACCGAUAGUAAACAAGUACCGUGAGGGAAAGUUGAAAAGAACUCUGAAUAGAGAGUUAAAUAGUACGUGAAACUGCUUAGAGGUUAAGCCCGAUGAACCUGAAUAUCCGUUAUGGAAAAUUCAUCAUUAGAAUUGUAAUAUUUUAACAAUAUUAUAAUAAUAGUGCGCAUUUUUUCCAUAUAAGGACAUUGUAAUCUAUUAGCAUAAAUAUUUAUCAUAAAAUUAUGUCUGAUUGCUUAUUUGAAUUAUAUGCUUGGCAUUUUAACAUAAAAUAAAAGAUAUAAAUUUGAUAAAGUGCUGAUAGAUUCAUAUGAUUACAGUGCGUUAAUUUUUCGGAAUUAUAUAAUGGCAUAAUUAUCAUUGAUAUUUGUGUUUAUUAUAUGCAUUUGUAUGAUUAACAAUGCGAAAGAUUCAGGAUACCUUCGGGACCCGUCUUGAAACACGGACCAAGGAGCCUAACAUAUGUGCAAGUUAUUGGGAUAUAAACCUAAUAGCGUAAUUAACUUGACUAUUAAUGGAAUUAGUUUUUUAACUAUUUAUAGUUAAUUAACGCAAUCCCGGGGCGCUCUAUAUAGUUAUGUAUAAAAAUAUUUACAUUAUUUAUGCCUCUAACUGGAACGUACCUUGAGCAUAUAUGCUGUGACCCGAAAGAUGGUGAACUAUACUUGAUCAGGUUGAAGUCAGGGGAAACCCUGAUGGAAGACCGAAACAGUUCUGACGUGCAAAUCGAUUGUCAGAAUUGAGUAUAGGGGCGAAAGACCAAUUGAACCAUCUAGUAGCUGGUUCCUUCCGAAGUUUCCCUCAGGAUAGCUGGUGCAUUUAACUGUUGUAUAAAAUAAUCUUAUCUGGUAAAGCGAAUGAUUAGAGGCCUUAGGGUCGAAACGAUCUUAACCUAUUCUCAAACUUUAAAUGGGUAAGAACCUUAACUUUCUUGAUAUGAAGUUUAAGGUUAUGAUAUAAUGUGCCCAGUGGGCCACUUUUGGUAAGCAGAACUGGCGCUGUGGGAUGAACCAAACGUAAUGUUACGGUGCCCAAAUUAACAACUCAUACAGAAACCAUGAAAGGCGUUGGUUGCUUAAAACAGCAGGACAAUGAUCAUGGAAGUCAAAAUCCGCUAAGGAGUGUGUAACAACUCACCUGCUGAAGCAACUAGCCCUUAAAAUGGAUGGCGCUUAAGUUGUAUACCUAUACAUUACCGCUAAAGUAGAUGGUUUAUAUUACUUGUAAUACAAAUUUGGAAACUUUAGUGAGUAGGAAGGUACAAUGGUGUGCAUAGAAGUGUUUGGCGUAAGCCUGCAUGGAGCCGCUAUUGGUACAGAUCUUGGUGGUAGUAGCAAAUAAUCGAAUGAGAACUUGGAGGACUGAAGUGGAGAAGGGUUUCGUGUGAACAGUGGUUGAUCACGAGUUAGUCGGUUCUAAGUUCAAGGCGAAAGCCGAAAAUUUUCAAGUAAAGAAAAAUCUAAAUAUAUUUGUCAUCUAACCGAUUUUUAUACACUUGAAUAAUUUUGAACGAAAGGGAAUACGGUUCCAAUUCCGUAACCUGUUGAGUAUCCGUUUGUUAUUAAAUAUGGGCCUCGUGCUCAUCCUGGCAACAGGAACGACCAUAAAGAAGCCGUCGAGAGGUAUCGGAAGAGUUUUCUUUUCUGUUUUAUAGCCGUACUAGCAUGGAAGUCUUUCGCAGAGAGAUAUGGUAGAUGGGCUAGAAGAGCAUGACAUAUACUGUUGUGUCGAUAUUUUCUCCUCGGACCUUGAAAAUUUAUGGUGGGGACACGCAAACUUCUCAACAGGCCGUACCAAUAUCCGCAGCUGGUCUCCAAGGUGAAGAGUCUCUAGUCGAUAGAAUAAUGUAGGUAAGGGAAGUCGGCAAAUUAGAUCCGUAACUUCGGGAUAAGGAUUGGCUCUGAAGAUUGAGAUAGUCGGGCUUGAUUGGGAAACAAUAACAUGGUUUAUGUGCUCGUUCUGGGUAAAUAAAGUUUCUAUCAUUUAUGGUAGUUUCUUGUUCCCCGGAUAGUUUAGUUACGUAGCCAAUUGUGGAACUUUCUUGCUAAAAUUUUUAAGAAUACUAGUUGGGCUACCAAUUAGUUCUUUUAAAUUAUAACGAUUAUCAAUUAACAAUCAAUUUAGAACUGGCACGGACUUGGGGAAUCCGACUGUCUAAUUAAAACAAAGCAUUGUGAUGGCCCUAGCGGGUGUUGACACAAUGUGAUUUCUACUCAGUGCUCUGAAUGUUAAAGUGAAGAAAUUCAAGUAAGCGCGGGUCAACGGCGGGAGUAACUAUGACUCUCUUAAGGUAGCCAAAUGCCUCGUCAUCUAAUUAGUGACGCGCUUGAAUGGAUUAACGAGAUUCCUACUGUCCCUAUCUACUUCAUCCUUGUUCUUGAUGCGAAUGCAUCAUCCCCCAUGUGGUUCAGCAAGGUAUCCAGACAUUCGUCUGGGUAUUCGAACCACACACGGGGUGAGAUGCUAGCCGAGUGGGCCGUGUCCCAGGAUGUUCGGGUCGUUAACGAACCCAGUGAGUGGUAUACGUUUGCGGGUCCGGUGGGUCAGAGUGACAUUGAUGUUACUCUAGUGAAUGCGGUGGCAAUGAGUAUGUAUGCUUUUCAUUGGUGUGUACUAGGUGGGCUUGGUGUGAGUGACCACAAUCCGAUUGAGAUUGUUGUCACACACACUAUUACGAGGAACGAAAGUGUUGGGGGUAAUCGCUGGCGCACUUGUAGUGUGAAUUGGUCCCUUCAUGGGCUCAUUGUGCAGGAGGUGGCAAAGCAAGUUCCGCUUAAUGCAUUUAAUGAUUUGAAUGUGGAUGAGCAGGUCGUAUGUGUGAAUGGGUGGAUAACUGGUGCGAAAGAUCCCAUGUUUGAGAGGUACCGUAAGGUCAACCUAAAGCAUGUGAAGUGGUGGACGAAUCAGUUAAGCACCAAGCGGCGGAUGGUCCGGUCUCUGCGGAAGCGAUUCCAAAGGGCCAGAGCUACCAAUGCGGAUGGUGCAGCCCAACUCAGGAUUGAAUAUAGUCGGUGUAUGAAUGAGUACAAGCAAAUGCUUGU